rnacentral:rRNA from 1 species
AGAGUUUGAUCAUGGCUCAGAAUCAACGCUGGCGGCGCGCUUAACACAUGCAAGUCGCACGAGAAAGUGGAGCAAUCCAUGAGUAAAGUGGCGUACGGGUGAGUAACACGUGGAUCAUUCACCUCUUGAUGGGGAAUAACCCUGGGAAACCGGGGCUAAUACCGCAUAAGCCUGGAAAGGGAAAGCAGCAAUGCGUCGAGAGAGAAGUCCGCGGCCGAUUAGCUAGUUGGUAGGGUAACGGCCUACCAAGGCAAUGAUCGGUAGCCGGCCUGAGAGGGCACACGGCCACACUGGCACUGAAACACGGGCCAGACUCCUACGGGAGGCAGCAGUGGGGAAUCUUGCACAAUGGAGGAAACUCUGAUGCAGCGACGCCGCGUGAGCGAUGAAGCCCUUCGGGGUGUAAAGCUCUUUCGGCAGGAACGAUAAUGACGGUACCUGCAGAAGAAGCUGCGGCUAACUACGUGCCAGCAGCCGCGGUAAUACGUAGGCAGCAAGCGUUGUUCGGAAUUACUGGGCGUAAAGAGUGUGUAGGCGGUUCUCUAAGUUCCGUGUGAAAUCUCCCGGCUUAACUGGGAGGGUGCGCGGAAAACUGGAGGGCUCGAGUAUGGGAGAGGAAAGCGGAAUUCCUGGUGUAGCGGUGAAAUGCGUAGAUAUCAGGAGGAACACCUGCGGUGUAGACAGCUUUCUGGACCAUUACUGACGCUGAGACACGAAAGCGUGGGUAGCAAACAGAAUUAGAUACCCCCGUAGUCC